AUACUUACCUGGCAGGGGAGAUACCAUGAUCAUGAAGGUGCUUUCCUCAGGGCAAGGCAAGGCUGAUCCAUUACACUCCGGAUGUGCUGACCCCUGCAAUUUCCCCAGAUGUUGGAAGCUCAGCUGCAUAAUUUGUGGUAGUGGGGGACUGCGUUCAUGCUGUUCCCUG
ensembl:snRNA U1 U1 spliceosomal RNA